rnacentral:rRNA from 1 species
GAGUUUGAUCCUGGCUCAGAUUGAACGCUGGCGGCAUGCCUUACACAUGCAAGUCGAACGGCGGCACGGGAGCUUGCUCCUGGUGGCGAGUGGCGAACGGGUGAGUAAUGCAUCGGAACGUAUCCUGGAGUGGGGGAUAACGUAGCGAAAGUUACGCUAAUACCGCAUAUUCUGUGAGCAGGAAAGCGGGGGACCUUCGGGCCUCGCGCUCUUGGAGCGGCCGAUGUCGGAUUAGCUAGUUGGUGAGGUAAAGGCUCACCAAGGCGACGAUCCGUAGCAGGUCUGAGAGGAUGAUCUGCCACACUGGAACUGAGACACGGUCCAGACUCCUACUGGAGGCAGCAGUGGGAAUUUUGGACAAUGGGGCAACCCUGAUCCAGCCAUGCCGCGUGAGUGAAGAAGGCC